AUACGGAGGGUGCAAGCGUUAUUCGGAAUUACUGGGCGUAAAGCGCGCGUAGGUGGAUGUAUAAGUCAGAUGUGAAAGCCCUGGGCUCAACCUAGGAACUGCAUUUGAAACUGUACGUCUAGAGUAUGGUAGAGGUGAGUGGAAUUUCAGGUGUAGCGGUGAAAUGCGUAGAGAUCUGAAGGAACAUCAGUGGCGAAGGCGACUCACUGGGCCAUUACUGACACUGAGGUGCGAAAGCGUGGGUAGCAAACAGGAUUAGAAACCCUUGUAGUCC
rnacentral:rRNA from 1 species